AAAUCCGAACAGGGAAAAUAUUCUCGGAAAUAUCCAUUCAGUCCCCAGGUCUCGGCUGGGGAACAUCAAAAUUUUGAGGUGAUUUUUUUUAGUAAGCUAAAGUUAUAUCAAGCAAACAAAAUAAAACAAAAAAACUUUCCGCACUCUUACUGCAGGAUAUAGCCGUAAAUCCAUAUCCACAUCCACAGGUUUGUUGUUUUUUGAUUUUGGUAUAACGCAGAAUAAAGAAGACACAGAAAAGGAAAGGUAGCUGCUGCUGGAGCUUUGCUGGUUACACACAAUUGUUAAACAUUCAUUUCAAAUCCCUCUGGAACUGGAACUGGAAUCGGGUUAUUGCAUCCUGGCUAAUAGCACUCAAUAAAUACACUAAAUAGAAGCAGCCAUUAUCUGGAAAAAAAGGCUCUGCUCUUGAUGGUACUGACAUUCGUCGCUUUGGAGGUGGGCUCGAAUGUUCGUAGUCGGGUUAUUGCAUCCUGGCUAAUAGCACUCAAUAAAUACACUAAAUAGAAGCAGCCAUUAUCUGGAAAAAAAGGCUCUGCUCUUGAUGGUACUGACAUUCGCCGCUUUGGAGGUGGGCUCGAAUGUUCGUGGAUCGCAUCAAUACGAUUAUUAAUGGAAUUUAAAGGCUUUUAUGGUUAAUAGUUAAAA
rnacentral:misc_RNA from 1 species